ACUCCUACGGGAGGCAGCAGUAGGGAAUCUUCCACAAUGGACGCAAGUCUGAUGGAGCAACGCCGCGUGAGUGAAGAAGGGUUUCGGCUCGUAAAGCUCUGUUGUUAAAGAAGAACGUGGGUGAGAGUAACUGUUCACCCAGUGACGGUAUUUAACCAGAAAGCCACGGCUAACUACGUGCCAACAGCCGCGGUAAUACGUAGGUGGCAAGCGUUAUCCGGAUUUAUUGGGGCGUAAAGCGAGCGCAGGCGGUCUUUUAAGUCUAAUGUGAAAGCCUUCGGCUCAACCGAAGAAGUGCAUUGGAAACUGGGGAGACUUGAGUGCAGAAGAGGACAGUGGAACUCCAUGUGUAGCGGUGAAAUGCGUAGAUAUAUGGAAGAACACCAGUGGCGAAGGCGGCUGUCUGGUCUGUAACUGACGCUGAGGCUCGAAAGCAUGGGUAGCGAACAGGAUUAGAUACCCUGGUAGGAUAGCG
rnacentral:rRNA from 1 species